UGGGGAAUUUUGCACAAUGGGGGAAACCCUGAUGCAGCGACGCCGCGUGAUUUAGAAGGCCUUCGGGUUGUAAAAAUCUUUUUUACGGGAUGAAAAUGACAGUACCGUAAGAAUAAGGUCCGGCUAAAUACGUGCCAGCAGCCGCGGUAAUACGUAUGGACCGAGCGUUGUCCGGAAUCAUUGGGCGUAAAGGGUACGUAGGCGGCCUAGUAAGUUAGAAGUGAAAUAAUAUAGCUCAACUAUAUAAAGCUUUUAAAACUGCUAGGCUUGAGAGAUGGAAGGGAAAGUGGAAUUCCUAGUGUAGCGGUGAAAUGCGCAGAUAUUAGGAAGAAUACCGGUGGCGAAGGCGACUUUCUGGUCAUCAUCUGACGCUGAGGUACGAAAGGGUGGGUAGCAAACAGG
rnacentral:rRNA from 1 species